rnacentral:misc_RNA from 1 species
GCAUUUUCAAGUAAUUUGGUGAAGAUUGUAUUGGAGAAUUUAGGUAUGGAACCUAUAAAAGCAUUGAUAUUUUUUAGGUGGGUCGAGGAGAGUGGGCUGUAUAAGCAUGAUGAAAGGAGUUAUAAUGCAAUGGCUAUGGUUUUGGGAAGGGAAGAUUGUAUUGACAGGUUUUGGAAGGUGGUUGAUGAAAUGAGGAGCAAUGGAUAUGAAAUGGAGGAGGAGAUAUAUGUCAAAGUUUUGGCACGGUUUGUGAAGAGGAAAAUGAUUAAGGAGGCUGUGGACUUGUAUGAGUUUGCAAUGGGUGGCACUAAUAAGCCUUCAGUGCAAUGCUGCACCUUUUUGUUGAAGAAGAUAGUGGUUGGUAAAGAAUUUGAUAUGAAUUUGUUUUCAAGGGUUGUAAGGAUCUUUAUUGGAAAUGAUUAUGC